UACGAAGGGGGCUAGCGUUGUUCGGAAUUACUGGGCGUAAAGCGCACGUAGGCGGACAUUUAAGUCAGGGGUGAAAUCCCAGAGCUCAACUCUGGAACUGCCUUUGAUACUGGGUGUCUUGAGUAUGGAAGAGGUGAGUGGAAUUCCGAGUGUAGAGGUGAAAUUCGUAGAUAUUCGGAGGAACACCCGUGGCGAAGGCGGCUCUCUGGUACGUGACUGACGCUGAGACGCGAAAGCGUGGGGAGCGAACAGG
rnacentral:rRNA from 1 species